rnacentral:misc_RNA from 1 species
CAGUAAACAUUGAGGCUGCCUCCUCCCACGCCCUAUUAUGUCCAACGCACAUAACAGUAUGGAUCUCGUCGCAGGAAUAUCUGCAGACAGCUUGCUGAAUAGCUUGCUGAAGAUGCUCAGCAGUCUGUCCAUCCAUGGAUGCAAUUGAAUAGAAGCUUGAAAUGAAAUGGACAUCAGCAUCCAAGAGGUCUGGCACUUGCUCCUGUAUUAUUUUUAGCGUUUCCCUACUCCGUGUCGCAUCGCUAGAUAGAAUGAGCUGAGGAAUCCAACCACUCAGCUGGAGCUUUUGAGCGACUGCAGCAGCAUCAUCCUGUCCAUCUUUGCUCAGAGGUCGAUCAUGAUCUCGCAAUGAAGGGUUAUCCCAGGAACUCUUAGCAUGACGAAGGAGAAUAAGGCGGCGAGCCACCGAUUUGGAGGGAGCUUGAUGGGAAUCUUCAUCGGUGACCGUCGCUGUCACCGUCGCCAAAGAACUGCAUCCAGCGGGCAAAAGCACUCGGGAACUAGGGCAGCUGCAACCAACAUGCAGGGAUUUGUUGUCCUCCCAAUCCAGUAUCUUUUCUGGAGGUGUUAUUGUCCCUUCAAGAAC